CAAUAGCGUAUAUUAAAGUUGUUGCGGUUAAAAAGCUCGUAGUUGGAUUUCUGCUGAGAACGACCGGUCCGCCCUUUGGGUGUGUAUCUGGCUCUUUCUUGGCAUCUUCUUGGUGAACGUUGCUGCACUUGACUGUGUGGAGCGCUACCCAGGACUUUUACUUUGAGGAAAUUAGAGUGUUUCAAGCAGGCAUACGCCUUGAAUACAUUAGCAUGGAAUAAUAAGAUAGGACCUCGGUUCUAUUUUGUUGGUUUUGAGAGCUGGGGCAGCGAUUGAUAGGGACGGAUGGGGGCGUCCGAACUUUACUGUCAGAGGUGAAAUUCUUAGAUCGGUCAAAGGCGAACUACUGCGAACGCAUUCGCCAAGAAUGUUUUCUUUAA
rnacentral:rRNA from 1 species